rnacentral:tRNA from 1 species
GGUUCUGUGGUGUAGUGGUUAUCACGUCUGUUUAACACGCAGAAGGUUGCGAGUUCGAACCUCGCCAGAACCU